rnacentral:rRNA from 1 species
UACAGAGGUCUCAAGCGUUGUUCGGAAUUACUGGGCGUAAAGGGCGCGUAGGCGGUUCGUUAAGUCCUGUGUGAAAUCCCCCGGCUCAACUGGGGAACUGCACAGGAAACUAGCGGGCUUGAGUUCGGGAGAGGGAAGCGGAAUUCCGGGUGUAGCGGUGAAAUGCGUAGAUAUCCGGAGGAACACCGGUGGCGAAGGCGGCUUCCUGGACCGACACUGACGCUGAGGCGCGAAAGCUAGGGGAGCAAACGGG